rnacentral:tRNA from 1 species
GGGAGUGUGGUGUAACGGUAAACACGCAGGAAUGUGGAUUCUGUAAUAGAGGUUCAACUCCUCUCGCUCCCC